rnacentral:ncRNA from 1 species
GAACUGACCUCUGGUGUAUCUGCUCUACCGCCAGGUGGAACGCAGAGUAGCUAUGUCGGGAAGGGAUAAAUUCUGAAAGCAUCUAAGAAUGAAGCCCCCUUCAAGAUUAGGAAUCUAUCGUUCGCAUCACAUUGCAUGUGACGCGAGCUCAAAAUAAAAAAUCAAAAAUAAAAAUUGCGGUGUCCCGCCUUCGGCGGGACCAAUCUUAAUUAAGAUUGUAAGUUUUUGUUUUUCAAAAACUUACUCAACAAUUUUCCAUUUUGAUGUUUCCAUUUUGCAUUUGAGCGAAGCAUCGCCUGUAGCGCGAUGCGAACGAACAGACCCGUAAGAGAUUAUUACGUAUAUAGGCUUUAGGUGUACGCAUCGUAAGGUGUUGAGCCGAGAAGUCCUAAUUCGUCGAAUCUUAUUAGGAA